rnacentral:rRNA from 1 species
ACGGAAGGCAGCAGUGAGGAAUAUUGGUCAAUGGGCGGAGGCCUGAACCAGCCAUCUCGCGUGCAGGACUACGGCCCUACGGGUCUUAAACUGCUUUUAUGGGGGGAUAAAGUCGGGCAUUCGUGCCCGUUUGCAGGUACCCCAUGAAUAAGGAUCGGCUAACUCCGUGCCAGCAGCCGCGGUAAUACGGAGGAUCCGAGCGUUAUCCGGAUUUAUUGGGUUUAAAGGGUGCGCAGGCGGCCCGUUAAGUCAGCGGUGAAAUGUCGGGGCUCAACCCGGGCACUGCCGUUGAAACUGGGGGGCUUGAGUACGGAUGAGGUCGGCGGAAUGUGACGUGUAGCGGUGAAAUGCAUAGAUAUGUCACAGAACACCGAUUGCGAAGGCAGCCGGCCAAUCCGCAACUGACGCUCAUGCACGAAAGCGUGGGGAUCGACCAGGAUUAGAUACCCUGGUA